rnacentral:lncRNA from 1 species
CUUUAACGUACAUCUAAUUUAGAAAAGUACAUUUUAGUUUCCAAACAUUUUAAGGAUUAUCUAGGUGUACUUUUGUUACUGAUUUCUAGAUUAUUUCUUCUAUGGCCAGAAAACACCCUCUGAAUAUUUUCACACCUUUGUAUUGUGUUACAAUUUGCAAUUUCGGCUAAUAUUAUUGGAUGAUGAUUCUCCAUGGGCCUCUCAUGUUUCUUCACAUCUUAAGAACAGAAGUAUUGACUCCUUUUAUUUCCGGACUACAUUCUCAAGGAUGUUUGUGAAGCAAACAGCUUUGGAAGAUAGAGACGCUGUCUUCCUCCAGAACAAAAGGCAAGUUUUCUUAAAGUCUUGGAAGACUGUUUCCAUCUAGAAAAGCAAGUAGGCAUUCUUAAUAUCUAGUAUGAACAACUCCGGUUUUCCAAGCUCAUCCAUCUUCUUUUGUAACACAAUUCAGUCAAUGUACAAGCACUGCCUGGCCCUCUUCAAGACAUCCUAUAGGAAUUGCUGCUUGGGGAGCUGAUGCUUGUGCAGCUUGCUUUAAUGUGG